CAUCAAGGAACUAUUAAAGUCACAACGGCAAAAGAUGAGCAUGCGUCCAUUAGCUAGUUGGUAAGGUAACGGCUUACCAAGGCUACGAUGGGUAGGGGUCCUGAGAGGGAGAUCCCCCACACUGGUACUGAGACACGGACCAGACUCCUACGGGAGGCAGCAGUGAGGAAUAUUGGACAAUGGGCGCAAGCCUGAUCCAGCCAUGCCGCGUGCAGGAAGAAGCAUCUUAUGGUGUGUAAACUGCUUUUGUACGGGAAGAAACACUCCUACGUGUAGGAGCUUGACGGUACCGUAAGAAUAAGGAUCGGCUAACUCCGUG
rnacentral:rRNA from 1 species